UAUAGAUACAUAUAAAUCGAAAGUAAACAUUUUGCAAUAUGUAUGCAAUUAUAUACAUAUACACAAAAUAUAUUCAAUUCGUAUAUAGACAUCAAAAUGAAAAUUUUUAUCCCUUCAUUAAUACAGUAUAUAUAAGUAAUGUGUACAGUAAAUACACUAAUAUAAUUUUGCCCAAAUACGGAUGCAAAUUUAAUUUAAUACCGUAUUAAUAGUUAUGCAUGUAAUAAUUACAGAAUGACAAACGGAUGUCUGUCGAUGUCUCACGGAUUAUCAGUAACUAGGUUUCAAUAUGGCGUCUUUCGGAAUUCGGAAUACGCUGCGAAGCUCCGCCCAUUGGAGGGAAAGACGUUUUCAAAGGUACCGCCGAGAGUGCACCUACUGGAUAUUCAUUAUACUGUGUCUUUGCUUCGCGUCGCGUUCAGUGUGUCACGGCCUUAAGUUCACUAGGAAUUUUUUGCGUUUCUAUCUGUACUAUUUUCGCCGUGCUUCACCAGUACGGCAACAAUCAUGCCGUUAUCCCAUUUAGAUAUAAUCUUAUGAAUUAAUAUUUUAAUUUUUCGUAAUAUAUAAAAUUAAAUUUU
rnacentral:lncRNA from 1 species